UGGGGAAUAUUGCACACUGGGCGCAAGCCUGAUGCAGCCAUGCCGCGUGUAUGAAGAAGGCCUUCGGGUUGUAAAGUACUUUCAGCGGGGAGGAAGGUGUUGUGGUUAAUAACCUCAGCAAUUGACGUUACCCGCAGAAGAAGCACCGGCUAACUCCGUGCCAGCAGCCGCGGUAAUACGGAGGGUGCAAGAGUUAAUCGGAAUUACUGGGCGUAAAGCGCACGCAGGCGGUCUGUCAAGUCGGAUGUGAAAUCCCCGGGCUCAACCUGGGAACUGCAUCCGAAACUGGCAGGCUUGAGUCUUGUAGAGGGGGGUAGAAUUCCAGGUGUAGCGGUGAAAUGCGUAGAGAUCUGGAGGAAUACCGGUGGCGAAGGCGGCCCCCUGGACAAAGACUGACGCUCAGGUGCGAAAGCGUGGGGAGCAAACA
rnacentral:rRNA from 1 species